GAAGAGGAAAAAAGGGGAGUUAGCGACAAGAACAGCAGGAUCCACAAUGAUAUCCAAGAUAUUCUGAAAAGUUAAUCUACCAAAGAUAUGCAACUGCAAUGCCACACAGAAAGUCUGUAUUCAAUUAGCACUUCUUCACCAUCCCACUAAUGCAUCUAAAACUUCCACCUAAAGAGAGGACAAGAAGGAAAAGAUGAUUGGGUAGGCAUAAAAAACGUUUUAAAAUAAA
rnacentral:lncRNA from 11 species